ACUCGUUCGCCGCCGCUCGCCCCUGCCGCUCCAUCCCUUCGCCGCCUAACCCUUGCAUCCCCCAACCCUCGACUACCUGUCCCAACUCUCCUCCCUGCGCCGCCGUGGGUCUCGGCCUAUCUCCUCCCUGCGCCGCCGCGGGUCUCGGCCUCCCUCAUCCCUUCGUCCAGGCAAAGAGAGGGCUGGCCUUGGCGCCUUGCCACUUUGAUGGCAAUCUGCCUUAUGAUCCGCCGCCGAUCCCGAUCCGCCGUCGAUCCCGAUCUUGCAUCGGAGGAUUUGAUUGACUUCUCCUCUCCUCUCUUCCACCUCUCUUCGUCGUCGGAUCCCCGCGACACAUGCCCAGAUACGUCCGCAAACCGCCGGCGACGAGGUGUAUGGUGCCGACAUGGCCGUGCUCGAGCGCCUCCAGGACCCCGCAGAGGAGAAUCAAGGCGUGGCGCCUCCUGGACUCCGUCCUUCGCCGCUUUGUCGACGACGUCCCUGCCGCCGGGCAGGAAGGUACUCGAUGACGUACUCAAUGCCCACCUGCAAGCUACAUGUCUUGGAGGGAAGUUGCGACUUGAGGGAGUGAGCUCCCAUUCUCUCAAUUUCUUGGCAUGGUCAUGCUUGCAGUACUGAUAAGGCAUGCUUCAAAAAUGGAGGGAGGACCUGAGCUGCCGCCUUGGUUCCUGUCCGCACCAGCCGCCACAGUAUGUAAUCAGGCCUCCACUAUCGUCCUCUGAAUUUUGGAUUACAUGCAUCUACAAGAGCGUGAGAGUUUGAGAGGGUAGCACAGUGCUACAUAGAAGUUAAUUUUUCUCCAUGAAGUUGAUAUGAUGCGAAGCUGCUGCCAGAUUGAAGGUAUGCCUGCAAGGAGGACACUGUAAUUUGGUCCAACAAGUACACACAACAAUCUUCUGAUUGUUCAACAUUCUUUAUUGCGUGAAUUUCUGACAUAUCAGGAUGCAGGUACAUGACACUAUUGUGUUGUCUGCAGAGGUUCUCAUUCUGAAAGAAACUGCAACUAUGCAAGAGCUUAUUGACGGAGAUUAUGAAAUUUGCAGUUCAAGUUCUGGACAUCAGAUUGAUACUUUACCAAAGGUGCACCAAUCAGCCCUCCGUCUCCUAGGGUGAUGGCACAAUGACAUCGACAGCGGCAGCAAUUGCGCACAGUACGGUUUAAAACUUUUUAUUUACUUGGGUCUGCUACCUCAGAUUGAUGCGCCAUGCUCGGGCAAUAAUAGUCCAAGCUUCAUCGUGUAAUAAGCUCCACCUGUGUGCACAGGUAAGUGGUUCCGGUACUGCUUCUGUUUUUGUUUGUUAUAUUUGCUGCCAGUCUGAUUGCUACUAUCUACUGUACGUGCUUAUUGUUUGGCUUUGAAGAGAUAUUUGCUCGAUGUUAUGCCAAUUAAUUUCAAACAGAUGGUAAACUGUGAUUUGCUCCUCAAUUUGUAUUGUAUCUGAGAUCUCAUUUGUGCGUACAAUAUUAGCUUCUUCAUGGCAAUUUCAAUGUUACAUGUACCAUAGUAAGCCAAUCAAUAUCUGCACCAUAUUGGUCUGAUGCUUUCUUACCCUCUCAUCCUUAAUUAGUAGGCAUUUUCCAAUAGGAUCAGCUUUGUUGUGCAAACUCACUUGUAUUUUCCAUGUUAUUUGCACGAUAUCUUGAAUGUUCAUGGUCCGAAUAUAAAUAAGAUCCGGUUCUUCUCUCAGAAACUUAUCCUUCUGCUUAUAUUUGCAUUUGCUAUUGAUGAUGUAAUUUGAGCAAAUACCCCAUAUCCUUUUUACCAAGUUCAGAUAAAAGCAUAUAUAAGUCUGAUUUUAACAAUAUUUUGUGAUCGACUAUGUGUUUGCCCAAACUUUAUUAGAUGACGUGGAAUGCUUGAUUAAUGAUAUCAUUUUAUUUUAUUUUAUUUGUGGUUCCUGGUGUGAAGCAACAGAUUUGAAUAAAAAUAUUUAUUUAUUUAGAAACAUUUUUAAGUUUAUCUGUACAUAUUGAUAUUAGCUUGAAUUUUGAACAAGAAAUAGUUUCUUAAUACGUACUUUUGAAUUUUAUGCACUUGUAUGUACACUGCUACUAACGGUGCUCUUGAUCAUGUCAUACACGAGUACUAAUGGUGCAUGCCUUAAUAUUGGAAUGGAAUGAAUACCAGCUUAUGUAGAGAAGCGAGGCCUUUUCGUAUUUGAGGAAGAAUGUCAUGCAACCAUUCAAGAAGAAUAGGAUGGGUAUUCCAGUAAUCCUAUGGAUUAGUCUCUAUAGUUGUUGGCGGCCUAUAAAGCAGAGGUAUCUAUGACUAAAUAAAUAAAAAUUGAUGACUUACUAUUUUACAAUAUUAGUUUCGACUAUAGUGUUGCUGACUAAAUCAUGCUACCUCUCAUUAUUGCGGCGUCUCGCUAGCAGGGUAUUCCCAUUUAGAUUAUGUUUGCCCUUUCGAUCACCGGCGCGGCUGUAGCCGUCCAUGUAGGCGUCGGCGGCAGUAGGGGGGAGGGGACAUCGGAGCCAUCGGUGAUAUUGGAGGAAUCAAUGUAGCCGACCAUCCUUUGAAUGACACAGUUUUGCUACCUCCCACUGAUAACUUUAGGAGCUAUGGAGAGGAGGGUUAGGAGGGAAGCGAGCCAGCGGCGUGAAGAGAAAAUGUUAGGGUCACAAUAGCAAACGAGUUCAUCUUGCCUGGGUUGUGCUGAUAAGAAAGAAGAUAGAGCUUCAGGUGAGGCAUAUCGUCCCUAGGAAUUUGUUGGUAUCGAGGAUUGUUCCAGGAAGCACUUCUGAUGACAACAUGAUGUUGGGCCUCGGGGACAUGGUAAGCUACUCAUGUCACAAUUUUCAUCCAUUCAGACUUGUUUUUGUGAUUCUUGUACUACCACUGAUCCAUAUAUGAUCUCUUAUACUCAUCAUUUAAUCCUGCUUAAAUUAUAGUAUUAAAGGUGGUUGUACUUUAAAAGGUCUCAAAGUUGUGCAGGUAACGAACAGAAACAUAUUGAAGCACAUUGUUGUCAUCAUCCACUUAGUGCCCGCCGGGUCAUGCUCAGCAGCAACGGUGCACGGCGAUGGGAAAGACGCAGGGGUGGCGGGAUCAUCACCAGUGGGGCCAUCGGGGAGAAGAUGGAGGCAGAUAAGAAAGGAACGGGCUCGGUUGGGUGUGAAAAGGAGAAUGAGAGAGAUAGCGAUGAUGUGGUGCUGCACCACUGCUCUCCUACUGGUAGCUGAAUUUUGGUAUUGUUGCUGCUAUCUGAAUUUCACACACACACGGCGAGGUGUUUGAUGCUGGCCG